UCGGGAAUAUUGCGCAAUGGAGGAAACUCUGACGCAGUGACGCCGCGUGCAGGAAGAAGGUUUUCGGAUUGUAAACUGCUUUAGACAGGGAAGAAACAAGACAGUACCUGUAGAAUAAGCUCCGGCUAACUACGUGCCAGCAGCCGCGGUAAUACGUAGGGAGCAAGCGUUAUCCGGAUUUAUUGGGUGUAAAGGGUGCGUAGACGGGAAGGCAAGUUAGUUGUGAAAUCCCUCGGCUUAACUGAGGAACUGCAACUAAAACUAUCUUUCUUGAGUGCUGGAGAGGAAAGUGGAAUUCCUAGUGUAGCGGUGAAAUGCGUAGAUAUUAGGAGGAACACCAGUGGCGAAGGCGACUUUCUGGACAGUAACUGACGUUGAGGCACGAAAGUGUGGGGAGCAAACAGG
rnacentral:rRNA from 1 species